UAGGGAAUCUUCGGCAAUGGACGAAAGUCUGACCGAGCAACGCCGCGUGCGUGAAGAAGGUUUUCGGAUCGUAAAACUCUGUUGUUAGAGAAGAACAAGGACGUUAGUAACUGAACGUCCCCUGACGGUAUCUCACCAGAAAGCCACGGCUAACUACGUGCCAGCAGCCGCGGUAAUACGUAGGUGGCAAGCGUUGUCCGGAUUUAUUGGGCGUAAAGCGAGCGCAGGCGGUUUCUUAAGUCUGAUGUGAAAGCCCCCGGCUCAACCGGGGAGGGUCAUUGGAAACUGGGAGACUUGCGUGCAGAAGAGGAGAGUGGAAUUCCAUGUGUAGCGGUGAAAUGCGUAGAUAUAUGGAGGAACACCAGUUGCGAAGGCGGCUCUCUGGUCUGUAACUGACGCUGAGGCUCGAAAGCGUGGGGAGCAAACAGG
rnacentral:rRNA from 1 species